rnacentral:rRNA from 1 species
AUUGAACGCUGGCGGCAUGCCUUACACAUGCAAGUCGAACGGUAACGGGCCUUCGGGUGCCGACGAGUGGCGAACGGGUGAGUAAUACAUCGGAACGUGCCCGAUCGUGGGGGAUAACGAGGCGAAAGCUUUGCUAAUACCGCAUACGAUCUACGGAUGAAAGCAGGGGACCGCAAGGCCUUGCGCGGACGGAGCGGCCGAUGGCAGAUUAGGUAGUUGGUGGGAUAAAAGCUUACCAAGCCGACGAUCUGUAGCUGGUCUGAGAGGAUGAUCAGCCACACUGGGACUGAGACACGGCCCAGACUCCUACGGGAGGCAGCAGUGGGGAAUUUUUGACAAUGGGCGCAAGCCUGAUCCAGCCAUGCCGCGUGCAGGAUGAAGGCCUUCGGGUUGUAAACUGCUUUUGUACGGAACGAAAAGCCUUCUUUUAAUACAGGAGGGUCAUGACGGUACCGUAAGAAUAAGCACCGGCUAACUACGUG